rnacentral:siRNA from 1 species
CUCAGAUGUCUAGUUGAGUGGG